rnacentral:rRNA from 1 species
AUCAAAAACAUGUCUUUUUGAAAUUAAUUUAAAGUCUAACCUGCCCACUGAAAUUUUAAAUGGCCGCAGUAUUCUAACUGUGCAAAGGUAGCAUAAUCAUUAGUCUUUUAAUUAAAGGCUAGAAUGAAUGGUUGGAUGAAAUAUUAACUGUUUCAAAUAAAUUUAAAAUAUAAUUUUAUUUUUUAGUUAAAAAGCUAAAAUAUAAUUAAAAGACGAGAAGACCCUAUAAAUCUUUAUAUUUAAAUUAUUUUAAUUAUUUAGAUAAAUUAAAUUAUGAUUAUUUUAAAUAUUUUAUUGGGGUGAUAUUAAAAUUUAAUAAACUUUUAAUUUAUAGUUAACAUAAAUUAAUGAAUUAUUGAUCCAUUAUUAAUGAUUAAAAAUUUAAGUUACUUUAGGGAUAACAGCGUAAUUUUUUUAGAGAGUUCAUAUUGAUAAAAAAGAUUGCGACCUCGAUGUUGGAUUAAGAUAUAAAUUUAGGUGCAGUAGUUUAAAUUUUAAGUCUGUUCGACUUUUAAAUUCUUACAUGAUCUGAGUUCAAAC